rnacentral:rRNA from 1 species
GCGCGCGAUACAGGGUGACAGCCCCGUACACAAAAAUGCACAUGCUGUGAGCUCGAUGAGUAGGGCGGGACACGUGGUAUCCUGUCUGAAUAUGGGGGGACCAUCCUCCAAGGCUAAAUACUCCUGACUGACCGAUAGUGAACCAGUACCGUGAGGGAAAGGCGAAAAGAACCCCGGCGAGGGGAGUGAAAAAGAACCUGAAACCGUGUACGUACAAGCAGUGGGAGCACGCUUAGGCGUGUGACUGCGUACCUUUUGUAUAAUGGGUCAGCGACUUAUAUUCUGUAGCAAGGUUAACCGAAUAGGGGAGCCGAAGGGAAACCGAGUCUUAACUGGGCGUUAAGUUGCAGGGUAUAGACCCGAAACCCGGUGAUCUAGCCAUGGGCAGGUUGAAGGUUGGGUAACACUAACUGGAGGACCGAACCGACUAAUGUUGAAAAAUUAGCGGAUGACUUGUGGCUGGGGGUGAAAGGCCAAUCAAACCGGGAGAUAGCUGGUUCUCCCCGAAAGCUAUUUAGGUAGCGCCUCGUGAAUUCAUCUCCGGGGGUAGAGCACUGUUUCGGCAAGGGGGUCAUCCCGACUUACCAACC